AACGAACGCUGGCGGCAUGCCUAACACAUGCAAGUCGAACGAGACCUUCGGGUCUAGUGGCGCACGGGUGCGUAACGCGUGGGAACCUGCCCUUAGGUUCGGAAGAACUCCCCGAAAGGGGUGCUAAUACCGGAUAAUGUCUUCGGACCAAAGAUUUAUCGCCUUUGGAUGGGCCCGCGUUGGAUUAGCUAGUUGGUAGGGUAAAAGCCUACCAAGGCGACGAUCCAUAGCUGGUCUGAGAGGACGAUCAGCCACACUGGGACUGAGACACGGCCCAGACUCCUACGGGAGGCAGCAGUGGGGAAUAUUGGACAAUGGGCGAAAGCCUGAUCCAGCAAUGCCGCGUGAGUGAUGAAGGCCUUAGGGUUGUAAAGCUCUUUUACCCGGGAUGAUAAUGACAGUACCGGGAGAAUAAACUCCGGCUAACUCCGU
rnacentral:rRNA from 1 species